AUAGCUGGCUAAAAUGCUAACACAGUAAUCUAUAUUUGUUAAUAUCACCAUAUCAACCAAAACCUUAGUGAUAAUGAAGAAACACCAAGUUAAUCGUGGUAUUAGCUUGUGGCUUGUGUCUCGUCCAAAUAAGAUUAAUCUUCUUUUGCUCUCAACAAACAACUAUGAUAAUCCUGCAAAACAAUCAGCACAUUGUGAAGCUCGUUACAAGGAGGAGAAUACGGGGUUCUCCUUGUAAACACCCUCCGGAGUGAGAAUAAGAACUUGCUUUGAGGAUAAAGUGUGUGUAUUAAGUGAAAGAGAAAGAGAGCGAUCCUUAAACCUUUAGCCGAAGUUCUCUAUUUAUAGUCGUAGUGAAGGAGGUAGGCUGAUAGGCCUUGGGCUUGAGGCAAACAACAAGGAAUAUCCGUUUUGUCUCCCUUGUCAGGGCCGUUAGUGUUUACAGGCGAGGGCCUAGUUGGUGCACGUUGAAUGGAUCCACGUGUCCUGGGGAUUGUCAUUAUUGUCUGAUUUGGCAUCAGCGGCUAAGUGGAGAUCAUGGAGCUGUGGUCAGCAUACGUUAAUUGGUGCCACGUAAGUGUCCUUGUGUACUUCUUGUCUCCUGCACGACUAUUCAUCGUGCAACACGAUAGAGUACAGCCUGUCAUACGCUCAUUGGUCUACUGCUUUGUCAAUUGUACAUUUUGUACUGUCCAACAUUGUCUUGCGCUUCUUGUCCUUGCGCCAAUUCGCUUGUAGAUUUAACUAAGUGUUGGAUCUGAUCUAUUUUGGACAUGGCCUCAAGCGGCCUAAGGUUAACUCAUGUAGUCGGCGCAAGGUCAGAAAUGCCAAAUCUUUUCUAGAAAGAACCAAGUGUUAGAUUUGAUCUAUUUUGGGUAUGGCCUCACGCGCGACCUACGGUUAACUCUUGUGGUCGGCGCAAGAUUUGGAACCAUACCCCUUCAAGACCCCCCAGUCCAUUGCUGCUUCCAUGUGCGAGGCUAGUGGUUGGAGCUCUGGAUUAGAAAUAAAAGAAGUGUCUGCGCUUCAACUCGGAGGUUGAAGAAAUUACCUCGUGGGUUGGAAGGCUGGCGCGCGCAUGUGUUAGUUCUUAGUCAUGUGACGCAACUAUCAAGCUUUUCUAGGGCCAUUCAGCUCCGUUUGCGCGACAAAAACUUUGAAAUUUGAAAAGAGCAUAUUCUAACAGGUUGGUGGCGAAAGCGACGGCUGAUGUGAUCAUUGACACAGUGUUGUCACUGUGUCAGGCGCGCCUUUUCGUCUUGUGUCAGGAGAGUGGAGUCCACGCGCGCAUGAUAAUCGUCGCUUCUGUUUCCCCGUCUGACGUGUCGAUCCUUUAGUGGUCACGUGCUCCAAGUUGCAGGCACGGUUACCCAUCACAUUAAACGUGAUGGGUAUAAAUAGGAGAGGAAAGCAAACGGUUUAACAGAUUUUUCAGACCUUCAUCUGCAUAUAUGGCUGAUCGCGAAGAUGACGUUAUAGAAGUUGAAGAGAACGGUGGUGGCAUGCCGCCACUGAAGUGGGAAGAGGGUCUCUUCGAAUAGAUUGCCCGGGGUCAUCAGUUUUCCGGCAUGUGGGACACCCGAUAGCCGGCCAAGAGCCAAACCGUUGCCGAUGCAACACUGCGGUACUUUCCUCCGGUCUCACAACAGUGGAGUUCAAAUGACAUGAUUAACGUUGAUCUGCCCAUAACUCUAUGGAGGCGCAAAAUUCCCAAAUUAUAAUACAUAUAUUAAUCCAAUAUUCAUCGGAUAGAAAGUAUUUGCUUAAUUGGAAAUAUUAUGAUUACCAAAUCGAAGUAGAAUGAAGUUUUAGAUGGAUCAUGUAUGGAAUAUAAGUUGUGGUUCAUAAUAAACAUCAGUCAGAACAUCCACCGCAACACGUGGGCAUUCCCACUCCACUAGUGUGUGCGUGUGUGUGUGUGUGUGUGUAUAUAUAUAUAUGUAGGGGAUGGUUUAAAUGAGAACACCCAUCUUUUGUGAGAACCAUGAGAACAA